AGGGAUGGAUGCCAGGAAUUGAUCCGGUGGUGGAUCCCAGGGGAGGAUCCAGGGAUGGAUCCAGGGUGGAUCCCAGGGACGGGUCCCAUGGGUGGAUCACGUGGAUGGAUCCGGUGGUGGAUCCCCAUGGUGGAUCCGGGGGUGGAUCCCAGGGGUGGAUCCCGGUGGUGGAUCCUGGAGAUGGAUCCAGGGGAUGGAUCCUGAUGGUGGAUCCCAGUGGUGGACCCCGGGGGUGGAUCCCAUGGAUGGAUCCAGUGGUGGAUCCCUGUGGUGGAUCUGGGAGUGGAUCCGGGGAUGGAUCCCGGGGAUGGAUCCCGGUGGUGGAUCCCGGGGUGGAUCCCAGGGGGUGGAUCCAGGGAUGGAUCCUGGGGAUGGGUCCCAGGGAUGGAUGCCAGGGAUUGAUCCGGUGGUGGAUCCUGGGGGUGGAUCCCGGGGUGGAUCCCGGGGAAGGAUCCCGGUUGUGGAUCCCAUGGAUGGAACCGGUGGGGGAUCCCUGUGGUGGAUCUGGGAGUGGAUCCGGGGAUGGAUCCCAGGGAUGGAUCCUGGGGAUGGGUCCGGUGGUGGCUCUGGGGGUGGAUCCACAUGGUGGAUCCGGUGGUGGAUCCCUGUGGUGGAUCUGGGGGUGGAUCCGGGGAUGGAUCCCGGGGAUGGAUCCCGGUGGUGGAUCCUGGAGGUGGAUCCAGUGGUGGAUCUCGGGGUGGAUCCAGUGGUGGAUCCCAGGGAAGGAUCCCGGUGGUGGAUCCCUGUGGUGGCUCUGGGGGUGGAUCCCAGGGGUGGAUCCGGGGGUGGAUCCCAGGGAUGGAUCCGGUGGUGGAUCCCUGUGGUGGACCCCAGGGGUGGAUCCGUGGGAAUUCCCGGUGGGAAGAGUUCGGGGGGCAGAGGGGAGGAUUCCGUUCGGGAGAAGGGAGCGGUGGGGGAAUCGCCAACCGUUGAGCCAAGGAUCCCAUGGAGGAGUUGGGAAUGUGGGAAUUGGUCCCACCAUGGAUCCAAGGAUCCCAUGGAGGAGUUGGGAAUGUUGGAAUCCGUCCCACCACGGAUCCAAGGAUCCCAUGGAGGAGUUGGGAAUGUUGGAAUUGGUCCCACCACGGAUCCAAGGAUCCCAUGGAGGAGUUGGGAAUGUGGGAAUUGGUCCCACCAUGGAUCCAAGGAUCCCAUGGAGGAGUUGGGAAUGUUGGAAUUGCUCCCACCAUGGAUCCAAGGACACAACGGAGGAGUUGGGAAUGUGGGAAUUGGUCCCACCAUCGAUCCCAGGAUCCCAUGGAGAAGGUGAAAAUGAGGGAAUUGGUCCCACCAUGGAUCCAAGGAUCCCAUGGAGGAGUUGGGAAUGUUGGAAUUGGU
rnacentral:lncRNA from 1 species